GCGCCAGUAGUCUAGUGGUAGGAUCCGGCCCUCCCAAGGCCGAGACCCGGGUUCAAAUCCCGGCUGGCGCA
rnacentral:tRNA from 1 species